UUUCCGUAGGUGAACCUGCGGAAGGAUCAUUAAAGAGAAUAUGCCUUUCGGAGUAGAUCUCUCACCCUUUGUUUAUAUUACCUUUGUUGCUUUGGAAGACCCGUCUUCGGACCACCGGCUUCGGCUGGUCAGUGCUUGCCAGAGGACCCAAAACCCUUAUUAUUAAUCUCGUCUGAGUACUAUAUAAUAGUUAAAACUUUCAACAACGGAUCUCUUGGUUCUG
rnacentral:misc_RNA from 1 species